UAUAUUUUGGUGUAUAAAUGCAUAAAAAAUUUUUGAAAUUUUUUGAGAUAGUUUAAUCUAUUAAAUAUAA
rnacentral:tRNA from 1 species